GCGGGCGUAGCAAUACGUCAGCGGCAGACGGGUGAGUAACGCGUGGGAACGUACCUUUUGGUUCGGAACAACACAGGGAAACUUGUGCUAAUACCGAAUAAGCCCUUACGGGGAAAGAUUUAUCGCCGAAAGAUCGGCCCGCGUCUGAUUAGCUAGUUGGUGAGGUAAUGGCUCACCAAGGCGACGAUCAGUAGCUGGUCUGAGAGGAUGAUCAGCCACAUUGGGACUGAGACACGGCCCAAACUCCUACGGGAGGCAGCAGUGGGGAAUAUUGGACAAUGGGCGCAAGCCUGAUCCAGCCAUGCCGCGUGAGUGAUGAAGGCCCUAGGG
rnacentral:rRNA from 1 species